UUCGAAUAGGGCGGUACCUUGACGGUACCUAACCAGAAAGCCACGGCUAACUACGUGCCAGCAGCCGCGGUAAUACGUAGGUGGCAAGCGUUGUCCGGAAUUAUUGGGCGUAAAGGGCUCGCAGGCGGUUUCUUAAGUCUGAUGUGAAAGCCCCCGGCUCAACCGGGGAGGGUCAUUGGAAACUGGGGAACUUGAGUGCAGAAGAGGAGAGUGGAAUUCCACGUGUAGCGGUGAAAUGCGUAGAGAUGUGGAGGAACACCAGUGGCGAAGGCGACUCUCUGGUCUGUAACUGACGCUGAGGAGCGAAAGCGUGGGGAGCGAACAGGAUUAGAUACCCUGGUAGUCCACGCCGUAAACGAUGAGUGCUAAGUGUUAGGGGGUUUCCGCCCCUUAGUGCUGCAGCUAACGCAUUAAGCACUCCGCCUGGGGAGUACGGUCGCAAGACUGAAACUCAAAGGAAUUGACGGGGGCCCGCACAAGCGGUGGAGCAUGUGGUUUAAUUCGAAGCAACGCGAAGAACCUUACCAGGUCUUGACAUCCUCUGACAAUCCUAGAGAUAGGACGUCCCCUUCGGGGGCAGAGUGACAGGUGGUGCAUGGUUGUCGUCAGCUCGUGUCGUGAGAUGUUGGGUUAAGUCCCGCAACGAGCGCAACCCUUGAUCUUAGUUGCCAGCAUUCAGUUGGGCACUCUAAGGUGACUGCCGGUGACAAACCGGAGGAAGGUGGGGAUGACGUCAAAUCAUCAUGCCCCUUAUGACCUGGGC
rnacentral:rRNA from 1 species